AUAGAAUAAGGCGAAAAAGCACAAUACAAACAGACUUUGAAACUCAUACAGAAAAUAGUUUGUUAGUAUAGAAUGUAAAAAGCUCAAUCGCCAUGAAAACAACUAUAUUCGUCGUAGACUAUAUCUGUUUUAAUUACACGAAUUUCUCCGAUGGUUUAACUUGGUUAUUUUGCCGAAUAUCAUUUCAAGUGUUAACAAUCCACUGGUCUGUACAGGGUCAAUCCGAUAUAGUUUCGGAAACAUUUUUUAAAUAAAGUGCUAGCUUCGUAAUAUUAUAGACUAAGUUUACACCUAAGUUUACACGGGACAGACAGCAUAAUAUACCCUUAUUUUCCAGGGUCAGUCCAAAUUUUCUCAAUCAUCUUCCUGGAUCGUCCCUAUUACAAAACCU
rnacentral:lncRNA from 1 species